GGGGGGGGGGGGGGGGGGGGGGGGGGGGGGGGGAGCCCGGGGCAGCACGGCCUCCCGGGCCGCCUCCUCCGCCCA
rnacentral:miRNA from 12 species